GUCAGAUGUUAAUUAUCGCAUGGAGCGUUUUCCUGAGUCUGGCAAAGAGUUGUGGACUGUUCAAUGGAAUGCCUUCUGCAAAUCAAACGCUGUGAAGCUUGUUGAAGAUGGAGCUAGACUGCCACCAACAGAUCAAAGGUGGUACUGCAAAAGAGGAAAAGCGUUGAAUGCUGAAUGCAGUCAUUUAUGUAACAUUAGUUCAUGAUUGUUUACAUGCUACAUGAAUGGUGUUGAAGCUUUGGAUUUUUUUUAAAAGUCUGUGAUGGGGGCUGGUUGCAUUUAUAUAUUGGCAGAAUUGCGUUGACGUAUUCGUUCCUCGUAGCGGGGUACUGACGAGCUGGACUGUUGAUAGAUUCACCAAAAACAGAAGGUGAGGAUACACAGCUUCCUCCCUUGGAGAUUUAUACGCCGAUAUCCAGAUGCCGGACACGCCGUACGUUGCCUGACGACCCAAGAACGAGGGAGUUCUUGCUAUGAAUCACUGAUAAGCGCUGGUGGCGAGCGCAUGUUACACUGGCCCAAGAUUGCCGACACUUUGUGUUUGACUAGAUCAACAUAAGAAGAAGAAACGAGAUUUAGAGCUGCCCUGCCAUGAAGUUAUGAUCAGUUAAUCAUGACCAAAGACACAGAGAUGGAUGAGUCAGAGCGGGCAUCACGGGAUGUAAAGCAGGCCCCGCAUUCAACACGCAAAUUCUCCUAAUAUAAAAUAAUAAACAGUAGAAGAUUGAUGCUCGGUUGUACGUCACCUCCCCGUACAAUGUCAAAUUCCUAAGGCCCUUGUCUUUUGUCUGACUUUUCUGAACAGGUUCUGACCCCAAAAUAUGUUCUGGAAUAUUUUAACAUGUCAUCAAUAAUUAUACAUAUUUUAAAAAUACUGGACGUAAUUUAGAAAUGAUUCAUCAAGUAUUAAAUUCAUUAAUAAUAUUAAAAAAGAAACAUAAAUCUUACAUGCUCGUGGCGUUAUCUAUUUAUAUCAGACUAAUUUAUCUAUCUUUAUUUAUCAAAAUUUAAUUUCACUGCUGUCAAUAUGCAUUUUAGAUGGUAGGCCCGUAAACAAUCGCUAAUUACACCUGAACCUCCUGUUAUCGCCAGCAAAAUAUCCUGAAAUUCUAGAUGCAUGCGAAUGAGCCCGAAGGUGAUCGCGCGAUCUUUACAUAUACAAUUUGGAGGCCCGUCACAACGACCGUUGCGAGCUAGCGUAAACAGACUAUUAUUCAUAGCCAGGAGCAUUACUUGAGUUCAUGCACGCCUUCACAUCCAGCUGGAUGAAAUGUGGAUGCUAGCCUUAAAAUAUUGCUGCUGUCUCGCAGGUUAAAAUUUUAUACAAACUUUUUUCUGAAACUCUUAGGGGCACAAAAUUGAUCCCUGUGGCACCCCCAUAAAGAAUCCCUGAUCAUUAAAAAAUUUAAUCAUGGCUGGAUUCAAUCAUUUCAACGAUAAGUCAAACCUUACAUAUUCAACACCGGUUGAGUACCGUCGCCAGUUUCACAUUUCGCCGUGUGGAUAAAUACACAAGCGGCUGUUUCUAGGUUGCAUUGGAGCUCUUAAUGGCCCAGGUUGCUUAUUUUUACCCCGCACUGCUCGAAGAGAAUAUGAAUUGUCUCGGGUUCACACAGGAACUCACCUCAGACGAAGGGGGAGGUCGGAAGGGGGCGACGGGGCUCAAGGUCGCUCAGGUUUGUCUGCCUGACACUGUCGACAUAACCCCCCAAACCACUCCACAAUCUGUGGAAUUAAAUGGAGGAUAAAUAUUAUCGAGUGCAACCGGAGAGGCUGUUGUGUAUUUGUGCUGUGUAGGAAGAGAGGCAGAGGGAAUAGCAGGGGUGAAAGGUCAAGGUGAAGAGUGACAUUGCCAUCAGAGGUUCUCAAAAUCGGUUGGUCCAAGGAAACAUUACAGGGGGCAAGUUUUCACAAGGACCCACAUAAGGUCAGUUAUACAUAACCACCCCCAUUUGAAUUAAAAAAAAUGGAGAGAAAAAAGUCAUCAUGCUUUCAUUAUAAUUUAUUUGGAGAGGUCACUUACCUCUAAGUACAGCUCGCUGCAGAACCACGAGGGUGGAGCUCCCCCAGAAAUAGUCCAGCCCACCAGACUCAAUGCCUCCCACCAGAUCCCUGUCUCACAGACUUCGACAGCCAGGCUGCUCCCAAGUGGACGGAGGCAGGUGCUAAUCGCUGGAUUGAAAAAUGCAUCAGACAAUACUACAAAGAGGGCAGAUCCCCUUCAGCAGCUUCCACUGCACCUUUUGUAAAAUUCUAUUGUCCGAUUUUUACAAGGUUAGGUACCAUGUAGAAAACUGUGUGUGUGUGUGUGUGUGUUUAGAAUGUAUGUUUAGAACUGUAUGCACCCUUCUGUGCUUUGCAUGUCUUAGCCUAUCAUUCCUUCCUAUAACCUUCAAUCAAUGUAUUGUGGCAUCACAAGCGGCCAAGUGGUAGAGAGCUGCUGCAUCCCUGACAAGAUGGUCACCGCAUACACUACACUUCCCAGAAAGCCUCAGUGCUCUGACAGGUGUAGGUGGUUUGGUCCCUUGAUUAAGGCAGCGGAUAGGAGAAUGGUUUUCAUUAAAUAUCGAGGUCAAUGUAGGAAGACGUUCCCGUCACCUUCCCCACCUGCACCCGCAGCACGGACAGCACCAUCUCCAUCAUCACCUGACCUCUGGCAGUAAUACUGACACGAAUAGUAACCAGUAGUACUGAUAGUCGAUGUAACUAUAGUGUUGUUUACUCAUUGUUUUUGGUUAUGUUGUCUUUUAUUGUUCUGUUUAGUUUAUUGAUUAAUGUAAUGUUCAUUAAUGUAAAAUAAAGUUAUCAAUACAGA